rnacentral:rRNA from 1 species
UACGUAGGGGGCUAGCGUUGUCCGGAAUCAUUGGGCGUAAAGCGCGUGUAGGCGGCCCGGUAAGUCCGCUGUGAAAGUCGGGGGCUCAACCCUCGGAUGCCGGUGGAUACUGUCGGGCUCGAGUACGGAAGAGGCGAGUGGAAUUCCUGGUGUAGCGGUGAAAUGCGCAGAUAUCGGGAGGAACACCAAUGGCGAAAGCAGGUAACUGGACUAUUACUGACACUCAACUGCGAAAGCUAGGGGAGCAAACAGG